AUGUCCGUGUCUCCCUUCACCUCCAUGUCUGACACCUGCCCUUUCGGGUCUGAACUUCCCCAUCCGAUUUGGAGUGAGGCAGCUCUUCUGAUUUUGCCAACUCCUUCCUCCCCGUUGCCCAGGGGCCAAACCAGGGUGGAAAAUGAGCGUAGGAGUAAAUGAUGAUGUGUAUUCCGCUACACCUUCCCUGGCCUGCUUAAUCUCCUGAUCCCCCACACCCAGUAAGGAUGGCAAUGACUGACACAAGCAUUAAAGAUAUGGAAACGUCCCUCCUGAAUGAUCUCACUAAUGCCAAGUCUCUGGAUUGCUGGAGCAUCUGAAUGCCAGAAUGAAAUAUUUGGAAUCUUCUCCAGAUGUUUCAGAC